CUGGGAUGGCAAUAUAUUCACUUUCUUGAAUAAAAGUGAAAAGGUUAAGACAGUGUGAAAAUCUUGGCAACGAAACUGGUUGUCUCAUUACCUAACGUUCACGCAUGGAAAGGUCCGCUAUCGCUCUUUUCCAUUCCGUCCUGCUUGUCGUGCACCCAUAAUGUUCUCUUACAUCAGGGGACUGAGUCUUCCAUAAGUCACUGGCCAUGGAACUUUUUGAGAACACAGGAGGCCUCAUUCCAGGAAAGGCACACUAGGUGCAUUAAGAAAAUGGGGCUGGGGAUUUAGCUCAGCGGCAUAAGAACCUGCCUUGCAAGCAGGUGGUCGUGAGUUCGAUCUCCGGUACCGGUAAAAAGAUUAAAAAAGGAAAAAAACGAAAAUGGGGCUGCUUUGGAAAGCCAGGAGUAAACUGCUGAAAUGCAGGAGCCAAUCAGGGCUGGAGAGGCGAGGCGGGCAGCACGAACCGUCCAAUCGGGUGAGCCGAGGUUAAGCCAGGAGUAAACUGUUGAAAUGCAGUUAUUGUUAGGCGAGGUGAGGUUGAUACUGUAAGAAGGAGUAUCGUCCAAAAGGUCAUAGGUGACUAUCUUCUGAGCUGUAGUCAAGUUCCCGGAGUCUAAAUCCUAUUCAUGGUUACAGAGAGGUAGUGAACCAGAAGCCAAUCAGGGCUGGAGAGGCGAGGCGGGCAGCACGAACCGUCCAAUCAGGUGAGCCGAGGUGGGUGGGACUUCCGGUGUCAUGGCUCUGUAUUUGGGCACGUUGCGAAGUCCCUCAGCUCGCUAGCACGCCUUCUAGGACUUCAGCCGACUGCUGGCCGCGUGGGAAGGACUCGGGGACACCGGGAAGCCGCGCAAUGGAAGAAACUCAGAUGACCAGCACAUUGAGGAUGAGAAUAAAAUCUUCAGAAACAUUCUAAGGUAACUUGCAUUCAUGAGAAGAAUGUUCCUCAAAUGUCAGAAAAUUAAACCCAAGCAAACGCAAAAGGAAGACUAUGUUUAAAUUAUUGUUCUUAUUUUUAUUUUAAAGGGGAUAAAACAGAAUAAAACCAAUACAAAAAAAAAAAAAAAAAAAAAAAAAAAACCAGGAUAAGAAACACCAGACUAAAAUCAUUACAGAAAUCAAGAAUAGUUAUAAGAAUGCCUUUUGAUGUUUUCAA
rnacentral:lncRNA from 1 species